ACCUACGGGACGCAGCAGUGGGGAAUAUUGCACAAUGGGCGAAAGCCUGAUGCAGCAACGCCGCGUGAGCGAUGAAGGCCUUCGGGUCGUAAAGCUCUGUUGCGGGGGAAAAAAGGCAGCAUCAGGAAAUGGGUGCUGACUGAUGGUGCCCCGCCAGAAAGUCACGGCUAACUACGUGCCAGCAGCCGCGGUAAUACGGAGGAUGCGAGCGUUAUCCGGAUUUAUUGGGUUUAAAGGGUGCGUAGGCGGAAUGCCAGGUCAGCGGUAAAAUCGCGGGGCUCAACCUCGCUCCGCCGUUGAACCUG
rnacentral:rRNA from 1 species